CGGCUGUCACUUACAGAUGGACCCGCGGCGCAUUAGCUAGUUGGUGAGGUAACGGCUCACCAAGGCGACGAUGCGUAGCCGACCUGAGAGGGUGAUCGGCCACACUGGGACUGAGACACGGCCCAGACUCCUACGGGAGGCAGCAGUAGGGAAUCUUCCGCAAUGGACGAAAGUCUGACGGAGCAACGCCGCGUGAGUGAUGAAGGUUUUCGGAUCGUAAAGCUCUGUUGUUAGGGAAGAACAAGUGCAAGAGUAACUGCUUGCACCUUGACGGUACCUAACCAGAAAGCCACGGCUAACUACGUGCCAGCAGCCGCGGUAAUACGUAGGUGGCAAGCGUUGUCCGGAAUUAUUGGGCGUAAAGGGCUCGCAGGCGGUUUCUUAAGUCUGAUGUGAAAGCCCCCGGCUCAACCGGGGAGGGUCAUUGGAAACUGGGAAACUUGAGUGCAGAAGAGGAGAGUGGAAUUCCACGUGUAGCGGUGAAAUGCGUAGAGAUGUGGAGGAACACCAGUGGCGAAGGCGACUCUCUGGUCUGUAACUGACGCUGAGGAGCGAAAGCGUGGGGAGCGAACAGGAUUAGAUACCCUGGUAUUCCACGCCGUAUACGAUGAGGGCUAAGUGUUAAGGGGUUUCCGCCCCUUAUUGCUGCAGCUAACGCAUUAAGCACUCCGCCUGGGGAAUACGGUCGCAAGACUGAAACUCAAAGGAAUUGACGGAGGCCCGCACAAGCGGUGGAACAUGUGGUUUAAUUCGAAACAACGCGAAAAACCUUACCAGGUCUUGACAUCCUCUGACAACCC
rnacentral:rRNA from 1 species